rnacentral:rRNA from 1 species
CCUACGGAGAGCAGCAGUGGGGAAUAUUGGACAAUGGGCGAAAGCCUGAUCCAGCCAUGCCGCGUGUGUGAAGAAGGCCUUCGGGUUGUAAAGCACUUUCAGUGGGGAAGAAAGCCUUGGGGCUAAUACCCUCGAGGAAGGACAUCACCCACAGAAGAAGCACCGGCUAACUCCGUGCCAGCAGCCGCGGUAAUACGGAGGGUGCGAGCGUUAAUCGGAAUUACUGGGCGUAAAGCGCGCGUAGGCGGUCUGAUAAGCCGGUUGUGAAAGCCCCGGGCUCAACCUGGGAACGGCAUCCGGAACUGUCAGGCUAGAGUGCAGGAGAGGAAGGUAGAAUUCCCGGUGUAGCGGUGAAAUGCGUAGAGAUCGGGAGGAAUACCAGUGGCGAAGGCGGCCUUCUGGACUGACACUGACGCUGAGGUGCGAAAGCGUGGGUAGCAAACAGGAUUAGAUACCCCGGUAGUC